AGCUCCCUCAGGACAGCGGGUUGCUUCUACCAGUGUGACGCUUGCAGGAGCUGGGUUCAAAGCUUAUUUUCAUCCCUUAUUGAACUGGGUAUUUGGGGGCAGCACCCAGGCAGGCCGAGGGGCAAUGGAAGCAUACCACUUUCCUCCAGGCCUGCUACACCGGCUGCAACCAAAAGGAUCACAAGUUCAGCGGCUUCUGAAAUCAGCACGUGCCUCCCGGUGAAACUCAUUCAUUAAGAAGCAAAAGCUAGGAGACAUAAACGUGAGAUGCUUGCAGCCUGCUGAUGGACGUUUUGCAGUAGGGAGAAUGCUGGAUCACUAAUCAUUCCCUUGGCAUAUCAGCAAUGCACAUGCCACCCAACGGGAAGGGUGGGCAGAUUUCUGCCUGGCUGAGUGCAGCGGUGCUGCUCGCAGCCCCUGAGCCCCAGCAGUGAUUUCGCGACCCGCGGGAAGCGCUGCUAGCUCGUACCUCUGGCCUGCCACUGAAUGGAUUGCCAGCAUGAGGCAUGGAGCCUCUGGGAGCUGUGCGGGAGGUGAAUGCGAAAGCAAGCACAGAAGAAAGUCAGGCUCCUGCAGACUUCAACAGGCACGCUUCCCUUCCCACAGAAGAAAAAGCUGUUACUACGUAGAGGCAACGUUAGAAAAAUCACACAGAGCACAAAGGGAAGUCUACCUCUGGGUUUUUAGGUAAGCUGAGGGGAAUCCCUGCAGCCUUUUCCCCUCCUUUACUUUUUCUUUUCUAAUACUAGUGCCGCAGAGGACUGCGUCUGUGUGCAUGAAAUCAGUGCUGCUCUUUAAAUACUUUUCUCCCCCCAACGCCGCUCCAGUUCCUGGUUCAGUUUUGAAUGGAGAUCUUAAGCGAAAGCAGCAAAACACCAACUGGCUGGAAAAUUGGCCAUGAAGGAGCGCAGUUAUUAGGAACCAGAUGCUUCAGCCGAGAGGAAGCAGGAUACGGGAGGCCUUCCAAAAGUGGGUUACCAAGGGGCCUUAGAGACGGACAAGCACCAAAAGCAUCAGUUAUCCACUUGAGCAUUCGCAUGUGUUUGCUUAGGGCUUUGAGUGGCCUGCAACCACAAGACUGGGAUUUGGGUUCCUCUGUGCAGCCUCUGAGAUUUCCACACAUUGCUGAGCUGCUUUUCUCCAGGUCUUGGGAGUGUCAAGACUAGAGAAGCAAGUUGUCACUGGGUGAUCAUUCAUACCAGACACAUCCCCCAGUGUGCUCGAGGGUUGCAUAUGCCUAUGCUGCGUCUGUGGGUAACCGUGGAACUUCACAUACAAGCAGAACCACCUGGCUCCUUUCAAAAGACAAAUAGCACAUCAAAGCAGAUUUUUAUCAUCAUUGUUACACUCUCCGGCCCCCCUGCGAGAGGAUUUUCAUGCUGUCAUUUCAGGGAUGAAAUAAAUUUUUUUGGG
rnacentral:lncRNA from 7 species